rnacentral:rRNA from 1 species
GACGAACGCUGGCGGCGUGCUUAACACAUGCAAGUCGAACGAUGAAGCUGGAGCUUGCUCCGGUGGAUUAGUGGCGAACGGGUGAGUAACACGUGAGCAAUCUGCCCUUGACUCUGGGAUAACUGCGGGAAACUGUAGCUAAUACCGGAUACUUUCACUGGAAGGCAUCUUCUGGUGAAGAAAGAAUUUCGGUCAAGGAUGAGCUCGCGGCCUAUCAGCUUGUUGGUGAGGUAACGGCUCACCAAGGCGACGACGGGUAGCCGGCCUGAGAGGGUGACCGGCCACACUGGGACUGAGACACGGCCCAGACUCCUACGGGAGGCAGCAGUGGGGAAUAUUGCACAAUGGGCGCAAGCCUGAUGCAGCAACGCCGCGUGAGGGAUGAAGGCCUUCGGGUUGUAAACCUCUUUUAGUAGGGAAGAAGCGAAAGUGACGGUACCUGCAGAAAGCCACGGCUAACUACGUGCCAGCCGCCGCCGUAA